rnacentral:rRNA from 1 species
ACGCGAAGAACCUUACCCAGGCUUGAACAGCGAGUGACCACUCACGAAAGUGAGCUUCCGCAAGGACACUCGUAGAGGUGCUGCAUGGCUGUCGUCAGCUCGUGUCGUGAGAUGUUGGGUUAAGUCCCGCAACGAGCGCAACCCUUGUCUUCUGUUGCCAUCAGGUUAUGCUGGGCACUCUGGAGAGACUGCCGGUGAUAAACCGGAGGAAGGUGGGGAUGACGUCAAGUCAGCAUGGCCUUUAUGUCUGGGGCUACACACGUGCUACAAUGGCCGGCACAAACCGUCGCGAGCCCGCGAGGGGGAGCUAAUCGGAGAAAGUCGGUCUCAGUUCGGAUAGCAGGCUGCAACCCGCCUGCUUGAAGUUGGAAUCGCUAGUAAUCGCGGAUCAGCACGCCGCGGUGAAUACGUUCCCGGGCCUUGUA